UACGGAGGGGGCUAGCGUUGUUCGGAAUUACUGGGCGUAAAGCGCGCGCAGGCGGUCCUUUAAGUCUGAUGUGAAAGCCCACGGCUCAACCGUGGAGGGUCAUUGGAAACUGGGGGACUUGAGUGCAGAAGAGGAGAGCGGAAUUCCACGUGUAGCGGUGAAAUGCGUAGAGAUGUGGAGGAACACCAGUGGCGAAGGCGGCUCUCUGGUCUGUAACUGACGCUGAGGCGCGAAAGCGUGGGGAGCGAACAGG
rnacentral:rRNA from 1 species